CAGGCUGGCAGGCCGGCGGGCGCUAGGCCGCCGGGGCCUGCCGCGCGCCGUCAGCGCGCGUGGUUGGCGUACUGUUCGCCGCCGUCCAGGUCGA
rnacentral:tRNA from 1 species